rnacentral:rRNA from 1 species
UAUCUCUGUAGAGUCUGCAUAUCAAUAAGCGGAGGAAAAGAAACUAACAAGGAUUCCCCUAGUAACGGCGAGUGAAGCGGGAAGAGCUCAAAUUUGAAAUCUUCAAGGUUUGACCUUGACGAAUUGUAGUUUAAAGAAGUGUUUUCGGUUAGAGGAGUAGUAAAAGUUCUUUGGAAUAGGACAUCAUAGAGGGUGAGAAUCCCGUAUUUGACUAUUCUUUCUAGCUUUGUGAUACACUUUCAAAGAGUCGGAUUGUUUGGGAAUGCAGUCCAAAAUGGGUGGUAAAUUUCAUCUAAAGCUAAAUAUUGGCGAGAGACCGAUAGCGAACAAGUACCGUGAGGGAAAGAUGAAAAGAACUUUGAAAAGAGAGUUAAACAGUACGUGAAAUUGUCAAAAGGGAAGCGUUUGACACCAGUGUUGUUUUUCCGAAAAUCAAUUAAAAAUUGAUUCAUGCCAGGUUGUAUUGACCUUAUCAGCUUGCAAUUUGGUUUUGGGUCUCUUUUUGAUGCACUUUUCGGUUAACAAGUCAACAUCAAUUUCCUUUGCUGUAAAAAGGUAAGAGGAAGGUGGCUUCAAUUUCGGUUGAAGUGUUUAUAGCCUUUUAUCUCUGCAGUCGGGGAGAUUGAGGUCUGCAGCGUAGAUCCUUCGGGGCUAGAUACAUUUAUGCUAAGUUAUAGCUUUUCAUAGACAACUUGUUGACUAUGUUUAGUCAUGUAGCUUACUCGUAAGUGCUAUUCUACCUACGCUUAGGAUGUUGAAGACUCUACAGAGAUA